AAGACUGUAUUUUCAGGAAUCAUUUCUAUAGUUCUUUACUUGGAAAUGUGUUUUGAAGAUGUUUGUGUCCCAACCCACAAUGAUGAGCUGUAAUGCUCCUUUCUGAGAGUGAAUCAAGGGCAGAACUGUGACUAUAGUCACAAUCUGUUGUUAAUGAGCAUUCAUAUUGCUUCCGGCAAUAUUGAAGAAAGGAGUGUGAUCUGAGUGAU
rnacentral:snoRNA from 1 species